CCAUUUACUUUUCACAAGUUUGGAGAGCCCCAAAAAUUUUCCCCAUAGUGUUUCCAAUCUUCAGAUCUAGAAUUCAAAAUUCAAAUUCCAAAAAAAUAAAAAAUAGAAAAUCCCAGAAAAUCUCCAAAAAUCAAAAGUAGUGAAAAAAAUCUGAUAAAAAAUCAAAAAAUUACUGUUCCAUUAGAAUUUCAGUUUAAUUUCAAGUUAUUGAAGUAUUUUGGCUUUCAUUUUUGUAGUUCAGGAUCUAAUAUUGGAGUUCCUAGAUCAAUACUUAGAAGUAUGAAAUUUUCAGAGGUGUGAUUGAUUGAUUUUGAAUGAAUUUUGGGUUCAAGCAAGACUGUUUUAGGCUGUUUUAUUAUCUGAUGAUUUCAGAAUUGGUUCUGAUUUAGUUUUGAUGUGUGUCUGGGUGUUUUGAGUUAGUUUGAAGAUCAGUCAAGCUGGUCUGGUUGAGUUUGAGGUGUAUUGAAAGCUUCAACGAUAUUCUGGGUUCAUUUUUUCAGUUUGUUUGGUCUAUUUUGAUACUGUGAUUUCUUCGAAUCAAUUUUGGGUUGGUUUUUGAUAAUACUCGCUGGGUUAUGAACGAGAUUCUGUGAUUUCCUGACUACUGACUCAUUGUUGAUUGAUCCUCACUCAUCCUGCACUCUAUUUUCCAGGUACUCAUUUGGACCUCUGCUGUAAUUUCGAGUUCGAAACAUGGAAUGAAACUGCCCUUCUGCUUAUUCUACUUAAUUUUCUGUGUUUAAUUAUAGCUUAGUUCAAUAAAUAUCUGUUUGCUGGAUCCGAUUUGUAAUUAAAUUGGACUGAGUGGACUGUGCAUAUUUGGAUAUAUAGUACGUGAAGUGUAAUAUGAAUUUUACCUACUUAAACACAUGAUUCUUGUUUACUCAAUCGAGUUAUUAGAUGCUUGUGUGUCCAAGUGUUAAAUAAUUCAUGAAGAGGACUGUUAUUAUGCUUUUUUGCCUAAAAUAUGUCACCUGGAUAGUCAUCGCUAUUGAUAAUCUCAUCUGAUUUAAUUUGGAUGUUUAUAGAGUUGAAUCGAAUUGCUGUUGAGAUAAAUUUGAAGCCAUUGGUCUUACAAAGUUAGUUUGGUCACUUUUGAAAUAACUAUUGUUGUCUUUCACGGAUUUCAGAACAAAAUUGAAGGCGUUAGAGUAAGCCAACUGAAACAAGCUUUGGUAGUUUCCUGUGCUUAAGUAUAAUUAAAUAAAU
rnacentral:lncRNA from 1 species